GUUUCCUGGAGCCACUGCCGAAGCCUGAUGAGGCAGCUUUCCUGAAGUGGGGUCAAAUCGCCCAGAUACCUCUUGAUAUAAUCUGCAUCUAAUUUGUCUGAAAAAUCUGAGAUUAUGAUGGCAUUCAUGGAAUAGUUAUAAAAGAGGACGGGACAAACCACACACCAUCAGGGGUUCCAGCCGCCAGUUCUGAUGCAUUGUUGCAGGUGUUGAUUUCCUUGGUGUUCAGUCCCUCUUUGACGGCAGUUUCUGGGAUGGACCGUCCAAAGGAACUCAUUUAAGAUAAACGCUGGACUAUUGACCUUCACUUCUUAGGAUUUCUUUUCUGGAAUUCUUGAAAGGAUUCAUCUCAACUAAGUUCGCACUAGCACCAUCAGAAGUACUUACUUCAGUGUCUUGGAUGUUUGAGUUGCCAUUAUCUGUUUCUUCCUCCAGGGACUCUUUGAGAUUGGACAGCCAGAGUGCCCAUAACACUCCAAAUUCACAACUUGCACAUUCUUUUAAAAUAAAUAACUAGGAAGUUCAAAAUGGAGUAUUAGCUCAAAAAGUUGACCUUCACUGCAUCAUUGCCUAAGAUGUAUGCAGAAAAACACUUGUGGUACCUGCCUGAAAACCAAACAUGACUCAUGGAAAUUCUAGGAGAGAAAGGUCAUAUGAUUUGCAGUAAGUUUGGUAGACCACUAAUCGCCUCCUAGGCAUUUUGUGCCAAGAUUUCUGUAUACAUACAGAAUUGAGUGCCAACAUCUAACAUCACAAGAUCGAUGAAGCAAGCUGGAAAACAAAACAGGAGGUUCAUUUAUUUGGAUUAGAACAUUGGUAUGCUUAAAUUCUGAAGUCAAGUCUUGAUGGAUAAUUUUAAGGCAAGAGGAUUAAAUAUCAAACUGGUUCUGUAUAUGUUCCAUACACGCAAUGCUAUCUUUACAGGCCGCACAACCAUGAUGGGAAUGAGAAGUGAGUCCUCCAGAGUACUCUCCCUUUCAUAAGCAGGGUUGCUUUUCAACUAUAUAAAGAGCCUUUUGAAUCCAAACCAAUAUUUUUAAGGCAUGGUGUUUGCCCUCUUCCCAAUCUAUGUAACUGGCAAUAGUUGGGGAAUUGACAAGUGGCUAUUGCAUGUGGUUAUUACUCUAAAAGAAAAAAGCUUCUGAGCAUGUCCAAGAUGGCGCCGCCCUGCUGAUCAGGAAAGCGGCGGUGGGCCUUUUCGGGCCUUGUCCGGUUCUGGGGGGGGGGCUUGGUGACAUCUUAGGCCCCCGCCCUGAUGGAAGAACAUCCAGUCACCCGGAGGAGGGGUGACUUGGUGCAGGACGACUUCGGAGGGCGUCGGGAGGAGCCCCGGAGCGUCCUUGCUGCAGCGGUGAUCCUGGCGGCUUGCUGGGUGGCUGCGGCUUGCCGAGUUGCCACCGGCCUUUUCGACGUUCUGGCGGCGGCGGCAGCGACGGCGACAGGGGGGUCUCUGAUAUUCAGGGCCCCCCUUGGACCCCGCCUGUGGGAGAAAGCAGUGGUGGCCCUGGCAGCUUGCCGGGCGGUUUGCCCGGCUUGCCGGGUGGCUUGCUGGGCGGCCUGCAGCUUGCUGAGCUGCCGCCGGCCUUUUUGGCGUUCUGGCGGCAGCAGCGGCGGGGGCCUUUGACACCUUGGGCCCCCUUAGAUCCCCGCCCUGAUGGAGGAGGCUUCAGUCGUUCAGGAAGAUGGGUGACGGGCGACUUCGGGGGUGAGGGGAGGAGCCCCGGAGGGGUUGCGCCCAGUGGAGAUCUGGAGGGCCUCCCGGGCCCCCGUCGGCCUUGUUGGCUUCCUGGCGGCAGUGGCGGCCUGGCUUUUCUUCGUUUGGCGCUGGCGCCGGUGGAGCCCCGGGAUUGCUGGCAGGAUUUGGCGACUGGCGUCCCUUCCUAGAUGGUGGGGAUGUCGGUGGCCUCAUGCGGCGG